GAAAUGAGGCCAUCACUUUAGCAUUGUUUUAAGAAACAAAGCAAAUAAUCCUGCAAUUCCAUGUGAUAAUAAAGCAGGAAGAUUUCUAGACCCUAGGAACUACCAUCAAAAACUGAAACAGCCUCAAAAUUAGGAAAGGAACAACAAGCGAAUGACAUUAGGAUGACUCACAAGAAAAGUAACACACAAACACAUUCAACUCAUACAACCACAGGGAAGAAAACUCGCAGUGAUUCACAAGAAAGAAUGAGCAUGAGUUUUGAGCAAAUCAAUCUGCUUUCUUCCUUUGUUGCACAUGGAAACAAAUAUGUUUAUGGAUUGGAUCUAAAUAGACCAAGAUUAAAUUCAACUGAAGGCAAUUUUUUUUAUCAUAGAAUGCUGUAAUUUACC
rnacentral:lncRNA from 1 species